rnacentral:rRNA from 1 species
GACGAACGCUGGCGGCGUGCUUAACACAUGCAAGUCGAGCGGUAAGGCCCUUUCGGGGUACGACGAGCGGCGAACGGGUGAGUAACACGUGGGUGACCUGCCCUCAGCUCUGGGAUAAGCCUGGGAAACCGGGUCUAAUACUGGAUAUGACUCCAUGACGCAUGUUGUGGGGUGGAAAGCCUUGUGCGGCUGAGGAUGGGCCCGCGGCCUAUCAGCUUGUUGGUGGGGUGANGGCCUACCAAGGCGACGACGGGUAGCCGGCCUGAGAGGGCGACCGGCCACACUGGGACUGAGACACGGCCCAGACUCCUACGGGAGGCAGCAGUGGGGAAUCUUGCGCAAUGGGCGAAAAGCCUGACGCAGCGACGCCGCGUGAGGGAUGACGGCCU